rnacentral:rRNA from 1 species
ACCGGAGCUAAUACCGGAUAAUAUAUUGAACCGCAUUGUUCAAUAGUGAAAGACGGUUUUGCUGUCACUUAUAGAUGGAUCCGCGCCGCAUUAGCUAGUUGGUAAGGUAACGGCUUACCAAGGCGACGAUGCGUAGCCGACCUGAGAGGGUGAUCGGCCACACUGGAACUGAGACACGGUCCAG